rnacentral:rRNA from 1 species
AACGAACGCUGGCGGCAGGCCUAACACAUGCAAGUCGAGCGGACCUUUCGGGGUCAGCGGCGGACGGGUGAGUAACGCGUGGGAACAUGCCCUUCUCUACGGAAUAGUCUCGGGAAACUGGGGGUAAUACCGUAUACGCCCUUUGGGGGAAAGAUUUAUCGGAGAAGGAUCAGCCCGCGUUGGAUUAGGUAGUUGGUGGGGUAAUGGCCUACCAAGCCGACGAUCCAUAGCUGGUUUGAGAGGAUGAUCAGCCACACUGGGACUGAGACACGGCCCAGACUCCUACGGGAGGCAGCAGUGGGGAAUCUUAGACAAUGGGGGCAACCCUGAUCUAGCCAUGCCGCGUGAGUGAUGAAGGCCUUAGGGUUGUAAAGCUCUUUCAGCUGGGAAGAUAAUGACGGUACCAGCAGAAGAAGCCCCGGCUAACUCCGUG